rnacentral:rRNA from 1 species
AGCUCCAAUAGCGUAUACUAACGUUGUUGCAGUUAAAAAGCUCGUAGUUGGAUUUCUGAUGGUGGUUAGAUUGUUGCGACCGCGUGUUGCAUCAACCAUACUAUUGUCAACACAUGCGAUGAGUUGGUGUGGUCAAUUUGGUUUGAUCCGCCAUUUAAUCGCUCGUUUACUUUGAGAAAAUUAGAGUGUUCAAAGCAGGCAUCUUGCCUUGAAUAUGUUAGCAUGGAAUAAUAGCAUAGGACUUUGGUUCUAUUUGUUGGUUGUUCGAGAACCGGAGUAAUGAUUGAUAGGGACGGUUGGGGGCAUCCGUAUUCUCAAGCGAGAGGUGAAAUUCUUGGACCUUGGGAAGACGAACAGCUGCGAAAGCGUUUGCCUAGGACGUUCUCU